rnacentral:misc_RNA from 1 species
GAUGAAGAACGUAGCGAAAUGCGAUAAGUAAUGUGAAUUGCAGAAUUCAGUGAAUCAUCGAAUCUUUGAACGCACAUUGCGCCCCCUGGUAUUCCGGGGGGCAUGCCUAUUCGAGCGUCAUUUCACCACUCAAGCCUCGCUUGGUAUUGGGCAACGCGGUCCGCCGCGUGCCUCAAAUCGACCGGCUGGGUCUUCUGUCCCCUAAGCGUUGUGGAAACUAUUCGCUAAAGGGUGUUCGGGAGGCUACGCCGUAAAACAACCCCAUUUCUAAGGUUGACCUCGGAUCAGGUAGGGAUACCCGCUGAACUUAAGCAUAUCAAUAAGCGGAGGA